AACUAAAGCUUAUAAUAGAACAGUUUCUGUACUAUAUUG
rnacentral:misc_RNA from 1 species